GAUGAACGCUGGCGGCGUGCCUAAUACAUGCAAGUCGAGCGAACAGAUGAGGAGCUUGCUCCUCUGACGUUAGCGGCGGACGGGUGAGUAACACGUGGAUAACCUACCUAUAAGACUGGGAUAACUUCGGGAAACCGGAGCUAAUACCGGAUAAUAUAUUGAACCGCACGGUUCAAUAGUGAAAGACGGUUUUGCUGUCACUUAUAGAUGGAUCCGCGCCGCAUUAGCUAGUUGGUAAGGUAACGGCUUACCAAGGCAACGAUGCGUAGCCGACCUGAGAGGGUGAUCGGCCACACUGGAACUGAGACACGGUCCAGACUCCUACGGGAGGCAACAGUAGGGAAUCUUCCGCAAUGGGCGAAAGCCUGACGGAGCAACGCCGCGUGAGUGAUGAAGGUCUUCGGAUCGUAAAACUCUGUUAUUAGGGAAGAACAAAUGUGUAAGUAACUAUGCACGUCUUGACGGUACCUAAUCAGAAAGCCACGGCUAACUACGUG
rnacentral:rRNA from 1 species